rnacentral:rRNA from 1 species
UACGGAGGUCUCAAGCGUUGUUCGGAUUCAUUGGGCGUAAAGGGUGCGUAGGUGGCGGGGCAAGUUUGGUGUGAAAUCCCGGGGCUCAACCCCGGAACUGCACUGAAUACUGCCUUGCUAGAGCACUGGAGAGGGAACUGGAAUUUACGGUGUAGCAGUGAAAUGCGUAGAUAUCGUAAGGAAGACCAGUGGCGAAGGCGAGUUCCUGGACAGUUGCUGACACUGAGGCACGAAGGCUAGGGGAGCAAACGGG